rnacentral:rRNA from 1 species
AUUGAACGCUGGCGGCAUGCUUUACACAUGCAAGUCGAACGGCAGCGCGGGCUUCGGCCUGGCGGCGAGUGGCGAACGGGUGAGUAAUACAACGGAACGUGCCCAGUAGUGGGGGAUAGCUCGGCGAAAGCCGGAUUAAUACCGCAUACGACCUGAGGGUGAAAGCGGGGGAUCUUCGGACCUCGCGCUUUUGGAGCGGCCGAUGGCAGAUUAGCUAGUUGGUGGGGUAAAGGCCUACCAAGGCGACGAUCUGUAGCUGGUCUGAGAGGACGACCAGCCACACUGGGACUGAGACACGGCCCAGACUCCUACGGGAGGCAGCAGUGGGGAAUUUUGGACAAUGGGCGAAAGCCUGAUCCAGCAAUGCCGCGUGUGUGAUGAAGGCCUUCGGGUUGUAAAGCACUUUUGGCGGGAACGAAAAGGACUGUGCCAAUACCACGGUUCGAUGACGGUACCCGCAGAAUAAGCACCGGCUAACUACGUG